GCAAAUGCUCCUGGGAGACUGAGCACAGGAACGCUACAUGCUUUAUGAUCUGCCCGUAGCUAUGAACUGUGGCUCAAUGCUGUCUUCCGCUGUCCAGAUCUUUCAGCUCUGAUUUCUGGCUACAAAGACCAGUUUCAAAAGUGUCUCCAUUACACUUUUAAAUGAGUAUCUGUAGUGCUCGGAGCCAAGAACUUUUAAGUUGAGAAAAUGACUGUGCAUCUUGGGUAUUUGCAGGGAUAUGAGUCUACAGGAAAAAGGCUGAUGACUUUGUAGCUCAGUCUUCUGUCUAUUUUCCUGGGAGACUGGCAACCUCAGUUUGUACAGGAGCAGCCGAAAAUGGAAGUUCCAAGAUGGAAUAAAAACAACUUGAAUGUU